CAACUUUGGGAAUUCCUUAGUACGGCGAGUGAAGCGGUAAAAGCUCAAAUUUGAAAUCUGGUACUUUCAGUGCCCGAGUUGUAAUUUGUAGAAUUUGUCUUUGAUUAGGUCCUUGUCUAUGUUCCUUGGAACAGGACGUCAUAGAGGGUGAGAAUCCCGUUUGGCGAGGAUACCUUUUCUCUGUAAGACUUUUUCGAAGAGUCGAGUUGUUUGGGAAUGCAGCUCAAAGUGGGUGGUAAAUUCCAUCUAAAGCUAAAUAUUGGCGAGAGACCGAUAGCGAACAAGUACAGUGAUGGAAAGAUGAAAAGAACUUUGAAAAGAGAGUGAAAAAGUACGUGAAAUUGUUGAAAGGGAAGGGCAUUUGAUCAGACAUGGUGUUUUUUGCAUGCACUCGCCUCUCGUGGGCUUGGGCCUCUCAAAAAUUUCACUGGGCCAACAUCAAUUCUGGCAGCAGGAUAAAUCAUUAAGAAUGUAGCUACUUCGGUAGUGUUAUAGCUUUUUGGAAUACUGUUAGCCGGGAUUGAGGACUGCGCUUCGGCAAGGAUGUUGGCAUAAUGGUUAAAUGCCGCCCGUCUUGAAAC
rnacentral:rRNA from 1 species